rnacentral:rRNA from 1 species
GGGUUGUGAGGUUAAGCGACUAAGCGUACACGGUGGAUGCCCUGGCAGUCAGAGGCGAUGAAGGACGUGCUAAUCUGCGAUAAGCGUCGGUAAGGUGAUAUGAACCGUUAUAACCGGCGAUUUCCGAAUGGGGAAACCCAGUGUGAUUCGUCACACUAUCAUUAACUGAAUCCAUAGGUUAAUGAGGCGAACCGGGGGAACUGAAACAUCUAAGUACCCCGAGGAAAAGAAAUCAACCGAGAUUCCCCCAGUAGCGGCGAGCGAACGGGGAGCAGCCCAGAGCCUGAAUCAGUGUGUGUGUUAGUGGAAGCGUCUGGAAAGGCGCGCGAUACAGGGUGACAGCCCCGUACACAAAAAUGCACAUGCUGUGAGCUCGAUGAGUAGGGCGGGACACGUGGUAUCCUGUCUGAAUAUGGGGGGACCAUCCUCCAAGGCUAAAUACUCCUGACUGACCGAUAGUGAACCAGUACCGUGAGGGAAAGGCGAAAAGAACCCCGGCGAGGGGAGUGAAAAAGAACCUGAAACCGUGUACGUACAAGCAGUGGGAGCACGCUUAGGCAUGUGACUGCGUACCUUUUGUAUAAUGGGUCAGCGACUUAUAUUCUGUAGCAAGGUUAACCGAAUAGGGGAGCCGAAGGGAAACCGAGUCUUAACUGGGCGUUAAGUUGCAGGGUAUAGACCCGAAACCCGGUGAUCUAGCCAUGGGCAGGUUGAAGGUUGGGUAACACUAACUGGAGGACCGAACCGACUAAUGUUGAAAAAUUAGCGGAUGACUUGUGGCUGGGGGUGAAAGGCCAAUCAAACCGGGAGAUAGCUGGUUCUCCCCGAAAGCUAUUUAGGUAGCGCCUCGUGAAUUCAUCUCCGGGGGUAGAGCACUGUUUCGGCAAGGGGGUCAUCCCGACUUACCAACCCGAUGCAAACUGCGAAUACCGGAGAAUGUUAUCACGGGAGACACACGGCGGGUGCUAACGUCCGUCGUGAAGAGGGAAACAACCCAGACCGCCAGCUAAGGUCCCAAAGUCAUGGUUAAGUGGGAAACGAUGUGGGAAGGCCCAGACAGCCAGGAUGUUGGCUUAGAAGCAGCCAUCAUUUAAAGAAAGCGUAAUAGCUCACUGGUCGAGUCGGCCUGCGCGGAAGAUGUAACGGGGCUAAACCAUGCACCGAAGCUGCGGCAGCGACGCUUAUGCGUUGUUGGGUAGGGGAGCGUUCUGUAAGCCUGCGAAGGUGUGCUGUGAGGCAUGCUGGAGGUAUCAGAAGUGCGAAUGCUGACAUAAGUAACGAUAAAGCGGGUGAAAAGCCCGCUCGCCGGAAGACCAAGGGUUCCUGUCCAACGUUAAUCGGGGCAGGGUGAGUCGACCCCUAAGGCGAGGCCGAAAGGCGUAGUCGAUGGGAAACAGGUUAAUAUUCCUGUACUUGGUGUUACUGCGAAGGGGGGACGGAGAAGGCUAUGUUGGCCGGGCGACGGUUGUCCCGGUUUAAGCGUGUAGGCUGGUUUUCCAGGCAAAUCCGGAAAAUCAAGGCUGAGGCGUGAUGACGAGGCACUACGGUGCUGAAGCAACAAAUGCCCUGCUUCCAGGAAAAGCCUCUAAGCAUCAGGUAACAUCAAAUCGUACCCCAAACCGACACAGGUGGUCAGGUAGAGAAUACCAAGGCGCUUGAGAGAACUCGGGUGAAGGAACUAGGCAAAAUGGUGCCGUAACUUCGGGAGAAGGCACGCUGAUAUGUAGGUGAAGUCCCUCGCGGAUGGAGCUGAAAUCAGUCGAAGAUACCAGCUGGCUGCAACUGUUUAUUAAAAACACAGCACUGUGCAAACACGAAAGUGGACGUAUACGGUGUGACGCCUGCCCGGUGCCGGAAGGUUAAUUGAUGGGGUUAGCCGCAAGGCGAAGCUCUUGAUCGAAGCCCCGGUAAACGGCGGCCGUAACUAUAACGGUCCUAAGGUAGCGAAAUUCCUUGUCGGGUAAGUUCCGACCUGCACGAAUGGCGUAAUGAUGGCCAGGCUGUCUCCACCCGAGACUCAGUGAAAUUGAACUCGCUGUGAAGAUGCAGUGUACCCGCGGCAAGACGGAAAGACCCCGUGAACCUUUACUAUAGCUUGACACUGAACAUUGAGCCUUGAUGUGUAGGAUAGGUGGGAGGCUUUGAAGUGUGGACGCCAGUCUGCAUGGAGCCGACCUUGAAAUACCACCCUUUAAUGUUUGAUGUUCUAACGUGGACCCGUGAUCCGGGUUGCGGACAGUGUCUGGUGGGUAGUUUGACUGGGGCGGUCUCCUCCUAAAGAGUAACGGAGGAGCACGAAGGUUGGCUAAUCCUGGUCGGACAUCAGGAGGUUAGUGCAAUGGCAUAAGCCAGCUUGACUGCGAGCGUGACGGCGCGAGCAGGUGCGAAAGCAGGUCAUAGUGAUCCGGUGGUUCUGAAUGGAAGGGCCAUCGCUCAACGGAUAAAAGGUACUCCGGGGAUAACAGGCUGAUACCGCCCAAGAGUUCAUAUCGACGGCGGUGUUUGGCACCUCGAUGUCGGCUCAUCACAUCCUGGGGCUGAAGUAGGUCCCAAGGGUAUGGCUGUUCGCCAUUUAAAGUGGUACGCGAGCUGGGUUUAGAACGUCGUGAGACAGUUCGGUCCCUAUCUGCCGUGGGCGCUGGAGAACUGAGGGGGGCUGCUCCUAGUACGAGAGGACCGGAGUGGACGCAUCACUGGUGUUCGGGUUGUCAUGCCAAUGGCACUGCCCGGUAGCUAAAUGCGGAAGAGAUAAGUGCUGAAAGCAUCUAAGCACGAAACUUGCCCCGAGAUGAGUUCUCCCUGACUCCUUGAGAGUCCUGAAGGAACGUUGAAGACGACGACGUUGAUAGGCCGGGUGUGUAAGCGCAGCGAUGCGUUGAGCUAACCGGUACUAAUGAACCGUGAGGCUUAACCUUACAACGCCGAAG